GGAACUUCCAUUCUUCAAUGUACGUGUUUUAUAUCAUUUGCAGUUUUACAAUGAAUAUGCAGCAAAAUCAAUGCUGGUGUUUCUAUCUGGAGCAAACAAGCUGGCCAUGGGCGUGUGGCUUGAAGAAUCGGUGGCAACUCCCAGCAUGUGAUGAUCUCAGUAAUAAAGGAGGAGGGAACUGGGGGGGAAAGAUGGCAGCUUUAACCCGGGGCACGGGAGGCUUCUAGGGAGCCCACAUGGGGACUUUCAGGGGCUGGCACUUAGGAGGAAGAAACGGAGGCAAAGGAGAGUCAAGGUGGGGGCCAAGUGGCAGGGCUGAGGAAGGCCGCGGACCAUAGCCCAUGGCCAAGGCCUUACUCAUCAGCGAAGCACAUGAUGCUUCUCCCCGCAGUAUACUCCCUUCAGGGGCUGUUACAGUGCCUCAGGCACCCCCAUUGUUGGAACUGAUGACUAAGGCCAGCUGUGAGUGGCAGAACCCAUCAAUCUGUACAUUUCUUGGAAGUGGCCUUCCAGUCACCUUCCAUUAGCACGGGUGGCAGGGACCCCUCAGAUCCAGCUGACAAGUUGAUUCCUCAAGCCCGAGCUGAUGCUCUGAGGAUGGGUGUAAAUUACAGCAGCAACAUGCUUCUAUCUGAGGCUUUUCACUUCUUGGAAUGACAUCCCACCCACAGGCUGCUUUGUCUGCCAAGGGUCCUGAGAUGUAGGCCAGACAGCCUUCUGCCUCAGUUUCACACAGAAAGAAAUUUAGGCACAGAGACGCCAAGCAACUCGCUAAGAAUCACACAGUGAGGCAGAAUUUGCUAGAAUUUGAACCCAGUUCUCCUGCCUUCUGACCUGGUCCCCUUUCUAUUGCCUCCUGCUGGUCCUCACAGCAGGGGUUGGGGCAGGGAAUUGUUUUGGGUGAAGAUCAGCUGAUGAGGCCUUGAGAAGGCCUGGCAGGGACUGGGGAGAUGGGUGGUAACGAGGUUCCCUGAAAGAGUGAGGGGAGGUAUCCCAGCCAAGGGGUUGGGCUUCUGCCCGAUCCCCACAUCUGCCCUGGGCCCACCAAAUAUCCUUCCCUGUGCCCUAACUGCUCAGUCCCUGGGCAUCACUUUGAACCUUCAAACAUCCUAUUAUGAGCCCAUUUUACAGGCAAGGAAAUGAAGCUUCAUAGAGGUUAGGUCAUUUGCUUAAAGUCACACAGCUAGUGAGGAAUGGAGGUCUCUGGCCCGUUGGAGCCCAGAGCCUGUGCAAAGGCCCUGAGGUGGGACCCCUGCACAAGAUGCACUAAAAGAACAGUAAGGAGACCAGCAGGCUGGGCCCGGAAAGGAAGCCGAAGAGGCCCUUUUCAGCCCCAUCCAAAUCCUACUUUCUCAAGCAAAAGGCUCUGGCCUCCACGGGAUGUGGCUUCCUGCUCAGCGAAGCAAGGUUCCAUCCAUCCUGGCCUUGGUUUCCUGUUUGGAGUGGAGAGGCCCAGAGAGAUGCUUCUGGAGUCAGGAGAAGUAGCAGCGGCUUCAGGGGCGAAUUGUUACUUUUUUUUAAAGACCCAGAAAGUGAGAGAAGUCGGUGAGGGCGGAGGGGGGACUCAGCGAUGAGGCCAGGCCUUUUCUCCGGCCUGCUCCACCUGGGAUCCCCAUCUUCCAGGGCAACGCAGGGUGGUCAGGGCUUUGGGGGCUGUUGGAACCGGUUCUCACGCUCCCGUAGGGGGCUAGGCGGCUGGGCCACGUCGCGCCUGACGCCAGGCGGCGGGCACCCGGCGAUCCCCGAGCGCCCUGCCCGCGGGCGGGGUAAGCGUCCGCCGGGAGCGCGCGGACAGGCGCGCGCACCCCCCCCCCACACACACACACAACGCACACGCGCUCACGGAGCUGGCGGAGGAGCGGAAAGGAAGCAAGAAGUGAAAGUGAGCAACCUCUAGUGAAAGAAAAAGACAUGCACAGACAUCUCGGGAAUUGAUGCCGGUGGCGGCGAGCUGGGCGCACGCACGCGGCGCGUUCCCGGCAGCUGGGCGCGUGCUUGGCGGCCCCGCGGAGGAAUCGCCACUCUGGGCCAGGCGGUCGUUGGGGUCGCUCGCGUCCCCGAGGGCCAGCGGCGGCCAGGCUCCCUCCCCUUUCCCUGGUUCGGGCCGCCUCCGCCUCUUCUCGCCCCGGCCGGCACUGUGCUGGGCAGGCACCCAGCGGUGCUCGGAUGUGUGCCCGCCGAGCCCUGCGGCCCCGGGCGCUGGCCAAGUCCUGCUGCUAGGCCCGGGCUUUAGCCCAGAGCCCGAAGGACCCUUACUUAGCGUUUGAGCCCUUUCGCCCUCUCCCCUUCCCCACCGUCUGCACUGACUGCCCUUCCCCGUGGCUCCCUGGAACGCCAAAGACCCUGCAGUGGUCGUUGCUCAGGUGGCCUUGGAUGAGAGCCAGUCCCCCGUCUCCCAGAGAGAGAACCUCCAAGUGACGGCGUCCUGGGAGGCCAAGGGCCACUUGACUGGUGAGAACAGCUCCCAGACAGCGGCCCUGGGGCCUCGGAAGCCCCCCUCCCCCAGCCUUCCCUUCCAGAACCAGCUUUUCCAGCUCGGCAGCCGAGUCAGGUUUCUGGCGAGUGUGGAUUUGUUUUCCACCCCUGGGGCUUGGGUGGGAAGAGCGAAAACUGGGAAGCUGGUUGCCCACGUAGUGUUCUGCCAUUGCCGCACCCCUCCUGCAGAGGCGCCCCAGGGACCCUCACAGCUGAAACAAACUCAGAAACCAGGCCCCGUCUCAACAAAAAAGGCACAGAUGCUGGGGUGCUCGUCGAGUCGGGCCUUUUGGACAGACAUCAGGUAGAAGCUGUGAAUAGCAUUGCAAGGGCUGCAAAGUCUGGAGCUCUUGGUGGGCAGUAAAUAGCACCAGUGUUUCUGAAGACACAGAGAAGGGCGUGGCUUCUUUCCAGGGGUGAGCAAAUUGGUGGCAGAGUUGGAUGACCCAUCCCAGACCUUGUCUCCGCUGGGGAACGUCUGGGCCUUGAGUGGUGGAAUGGGCUGGAAUGUUAGCGCUGAAGCCCCGCUGGAGCUAGAGUCUUUGCUGGGACUGGGAUUGGAGGCUGCAGAAAGCGAAAAGCGGCAAGGUCGGCUGCAGGUCAUGGAGAAGCAACAAACGCGCUUCUCUGAAGGAUGGAAAAAUCGAUGCCCACGGAAGAGCGGGUGCAGGGAAGGUGUGGACAGCAGCGGAGGGGAGAAGACCAAGGGCGGGGGGGAGUCAGGCGCCUGGGGUCCCUCCGCUGCGGCACUGGCUGUUCCCCAUCUCCCAGAGCAAAGUCAGAGGUCAGUGUGGUCAGCACAGGCCCGGUGGUGUGGUUUUGGUUUUCAUUAUUUUGUUCUGAUUACCAAAGCUGUGCGUGUUCGUGUAGAAAAUCAAAAUCACCAAAUCCAUCCCCCGAGGUAACCUCCCCGUUAACGUGCAUAGUAAAUCCUUCCAGCCUUUUUUCUCUGCAAGUUGAAUGCACUUUUUAUUUUUGCAAAAGUAGGACGUGCUCAACUGCUGUUUUCCAUCCGACACUCUGCAGCCAGGAUCCCUCUGUGCCGUUACCUGGUGAUCUGCUGGCUGCACCAUGAGUCAUCUUGUUGCGUGGUGGACAUGUGCACAGUACAGGGCUUGGGGUCAGGAAUUGGCCCCUUGCUUACGUCACGUCGGGCAGGUGGCCUCCACCCUCUGACCUUGCCAUCCUCCUCUGUGUGGUGGGGCUACUGCUGACUGCCUUACAGCCUUGUGGUGAGAAUUACAUGAGGCAAGAGACAGAAAGUACUCAUUCCUUGCGGAGCACAUCAAAAAUAUUCCAUCCACUUCAGCUAAACUACCUUUAAAGAGUGAAAGCAAAAUAAAGACAUUUUGGACAAAGACUGAGAAACUUUACCACUCACAGAGCUUUGCUGAAAGAACAAAUAAAGGAUUAUCUAAGGAGGAAGGAGAUCAAACCCUGUAUCAGAAUGCAGUGAACCUUUGCAAUCUGCAUAUUCAGAUCUUUUUGUUUGGUUUUAAGGCACAGUUUCCUCGGGCAGCUAUAUGAAACGACGGCAACUGGGUGGCUUUAACACAACAGAAGUGUGUUCUCUCACAGUUCUGGAGGCCAGAAGUCUGAAAUCCAGGUGUUGGCAGGGUUGGUUCCUUCUGGAGGCUCUGAGGGUGAGUCUGUUCCAUGCCCCUCUCCUGGCUUAUGGCAUUUCUUGGCUUGUAGCUAUAUCACUCCAAUCUCUGCCGCUACCUUCACACGGCCUCCUCCUGUUUCUCUCCUGUCUGUGUUUCUUUUUUAAUAUGGACACUUAUCAUUGGAUUUAGGGCCCACCCAGUUCAUCCAGGAUGAUCUCAUCUUGAGAUUCUUAAUUAUAUCUGCAAAGACCCUUUUCCCAAGUAAGGUUACAUUCGCAAUUACCAAGGGGUAGGACUUGGACAGGUCUUUUUGGAGACCACAGUUCAAGGCACUACACAGUCCACGUCCACGUCCCUUUUUUUAUAGCCUCAUGCUGCCUUUUCCCAUCUGUCGGGGCUGCCCUGUGCUUUCCCGCUCCUGUUUUGCAGAGCACGUCUUUCCGUUAAGGUUGCCACACCGUUUCCUGACGUCUUCUGGUUCCUUUAGGAAACUGCUGUGAGCCGCCUGCUCUCGUGUUGCAGAAUGCUGAUUCCCUUUCCAUGCUCAGCAGUGUUCUUUCACAGUCCUUUGUGGUUGAUGCUUUUGCCUCCGUAUUGUCCCUCAGACACAGAAACAUUAACCCACACUCCAGGAUUUUAAGUAGACAGGAUGUGUAGAUUGCCUCUGGUCCUGUCCUCUUAUUACUUGUUUGGUGGCUCCAUCCCAUUCUCAGGGUUUGGUCUGGGCAACAGGAUCAAGUGGGCUUUGCUCAAUCCAUGUCCCAGUUUCCAGCAGGUUCUGCCAAUUGCAGCCCAGCUGAACGAAGGUGGCAUCCGCUCUGGUCCAGCUAAAUGGUUCUUGGAUUUUCUGAACAGAUAAAAUAAGCAAAAGUCCCAGCAUGCACUGCUACUGGGGAGUUUCCUAGUGUUCUCCUCACCCCCACUCCCCCUACAAUGAUCACCUUUGCUUCCCAGAAUCCCAUGCAUCAUGAAAGACCCCUGCUUGCCCACUUUCUCUCAAUGACUAGGGGACAUUACUCCAAUAGCAUCUGUGGGAGAGGGACAGCUAUCCAGUUUUCAGAGUGGCACAGAUUCCGGGUCUCUGACUGGGGGCAAAUGAUGGAGGAGGUUCUGAGCCCCUUCCUGCCUUUGUCCCCGGUCUCUCUCCAACACCGGCCCCCCACCCCCACUAUUGUCAUCAGCAUGGGCUCCUCCCAGAUCCUGGCAUGGGGCUGGCAGCUGUUCCCCACAAUGCAUAAGGUUUCAUAUUUCUCACUACGUUCAUGGGUAUUUAGUGGAAAACUAAGAAUGGCUCUAUCAGGGUUUCUAGUUACAUGUCAUCUUAUAUAGAAGUCCACAGGUUUUUAGUGCUUUUUUUUUUUUUAAAGCUCAGACUCACUCAUUCAUGCACAUUUAUUUAUUCAAAAAAAGUAGUGUGUUCACGGCUUGGCUUCCUAGUGGAUGUCAGGAUAAAUCAGCUAAUGAUACAGGAGAGUUCUGCAAAGAUGGAGGAAUAGGGAAAAGCCCAGGCCCCCGCCUCUUCCUUCCUCCGCUCUGCAAACCUGACUUCUCCAGAGAUCUCUGCAUCUUGAAGACCUUGUUCUUGUGCUCCCAAAUUAGCAGUCUGUGAAAUCAGACACAUUUAUUGAGAACUUUCUUUUGCUCCAGGCAAAAGUAAGGGGAAAGGAAGUAGCCUAGGGGAGAGGAAGAUAAAAUCGUUAGGAUUCCUGCCCUCAUGGUACACAGCUUCCACUUCCCUGCUGUAGAGCACGGUGCCUGUUUUCAUCAUGGUUUGUGAUGAUUAUUUGAAUAAUCACCUCACUAGACUCCUGUCAGACUGGCAGCCCCGUGAGUGCAGGAACAGUGUCUGUAUCCUUGUUUGUUAGCACAGCUGGGACUGGAUAGGGCCGCCUGAAGGACAGGCCAUCUGAGCUGGGCUCUGAAGGGUGGAUAGGAGUUCUGUGUAGAUAAGGAGGGGGGAGCAAGAGAGAGAGGCGAAGUCUCUCUCUCUGGGGUCUCCUCAGCCCAAACCUGACCCUCCUUCUUGGCCUAGUUCUCACUGUGGUUUCUGCUGCGACAGGGAGAAAGUUCCCCUCUGGAUCUCCUUAGAGGCUGAACAGCCCCAUGUCUGGGCAGUGCUCAGAGAAGGAUGAGGUCUGCAGGAAUUGAUGGCCAGGUUGCCUAGGCCUAAGAGCUCAGCUGGGGAGAAUGGACAGAGGCCCAUGUUUGCCUCCUCUGGGCUCCCUUCCUUUAUCUUUUCAAAGCAGAUAUAAGUGGUGCCCGUCCCACCGUGGCAGCCGCGGGUUGUGAUUACUUUCCAACAGGCACGUUCAUGGCUGGGUCUCCUGGAUGGGACCCAAAAGCCAUUUGCCCGGGAGGCAGAAUCUGAGUCAGGUCCAGCUGGGUCUUCCCAUCUUUUAUUUGCCCAAUCCUAUUAAUAAUUAACGAUACAGUAAUGAGAAUUGCUUUUAAUAGAAUCCGCUGCCAUGGCAUUCUGUUCCCCGCCAAGGGUUUCCCCCAGAAGGAUUCACGGUCACAUGGCUGUACCUCCUGCCACCUCACUGGAAGGUCCCCUGCCGUUGUCCUUCCCUCCUCUCUUCUGGGCCUGAGCCCCCUCCCUGCUGACCUGGAAGCCCCACUUUCUCCUCUACCAUUUCCUGUCCCCUCCCUGAAGCCCCGCCCACCAGCCCCUCCAGGUUCCCGCUGUGGCGUGAGGCCGCCCCAUCCACCCAGCCAAGCCUCGUCUGUCACCAGGGCAAACUGGUCCCACUGGGCAGGGACACGGACGCCCCCGGAAGCAGCUGUGUGCCCAGCCUGGGGCAGGCGUGAGACCCACACUGUGCGUACAGAGGCUGACACUGGACCCAAACUCACUUCCAGCAAAGGUCAGUAGGAUGGGUGUGGAGGAAAGGAAACCCGGCCAGGACGGCUUAAGUCCUGGCUUGGCCACUGUUUAUGGGACCGUGGCGAGUGUUGUCACCCCUGCCUCCAGCCUCAGUUUAUUCACCUGCAGAAUGGGGAUGAAGAUGGUCCCCACCCCACCAGAAUGUUCUGGGGAGAAGGGGAACGCAGCAGAUUUCAGGGGAAGCUCCUUAAUACUCACUCCCAGAAAAUACCCACGGCGUGCCCAGGGUUUAGCUAUCGUGAUGCUAUUCUCUGUGGCCUUAUUUAUGAUAUCACAACUUGGAAACCACCUCCGUGUUCAAUAAUAGGGGAUUGGCUCAAAUAAGUGUGAGCGUACCAACACUGUGGGCACUCAGCUGCUGUUGGAAAGGGGGCUCGGGCCUGCUUCUGUGCCUAAGAGUCUCCUGGGACUCCUGGCGCCAUGCAGUUCUGGGGGCCCGGGGCUGAGAUCCUGCACUUCUUGUUUGUGUGUUUGUUUGCCCUCCAGCACAGCUUGCAGGAUCUCAGUUACCUGACCAGGGAUUGCACCUGGGCAGUGAAAGCCUGGAAUCCUAACCACGAGGCCACCAAGGAACUACCCCCUCCCCUGCCCCCAAGAUCCUGCACUUCUAACAGCUGCUGCUUGGGGAGCACUCUCUGGGUACCAGCGGGUAGAGGCCUUGGGUGGCGGAGAAGUUUGAGUUCUGCUGGUGAAAGGAAGAACCAGGUUGCAAACCAGAAUGUUCUGUGAUCCCCUUGCUGGGCUCAAAGCAGAGCUCAUGCUGCAUACCCAGUACAAAGUCUGGAGGCUAGAGGCUCAGGCACUCAAAGUGCUACGGAUGGGUGAUGAAUUAUAGAUCAUUUCGAUUUUUCUCUUUGGUUUAUCUUAAUUUCAAAAUUAUCCACAGUUAACGUGUAUUACUUUCGUAAAUGGAGAAAAAUGUAAUUUUCUUUAGAAAAAGAACAACUGUUCUCUGCCCUUCCCUACAACACAAGUCAGGGUGAUAUUCAGCGUGGAAAGAUGGGAACGCUGCGGAGACGAGGAUCAGUGUGGAUUCCGGCCUCGCUCCAGAGCCUGUGUGCCGGGCUGUGGGCUGGCCUGAGCCAGCCAUGAGGCUCUGGUGCUCAGCACGUCCCUAUGCCAGGCUAAGCCCUCUGCACCCAGCGUCCCCGUCUCCCAUACCCCCAGGAGGGGAUCAGCACAAGGCACUGGUACCGGCUCCACUUCGCAGCUGAGGGAGCCAGCUGGGAAGUGAAGGACCCAUCCAGGGUCCCCCAGCUCCCUGGGGGGUGGGGUGGGGAGGGGCCUGCCAGGAGGAAGCCCCUUCCUCCUUGAAGGUCUUCUUUUGGCCACUAGUCAGGGCAGCCUCACCGGAAAAACAGGUGAUGAAGAGCUUUUAAAAUUAGCUGGAGUUUUUAUGUCCUGGGGGAGGCAAUGGGGAGCCAUUGAGUGUUCUAAGUGAAGACGAAACGAUUCAAGUUGUGAGCAGCUUGGAGCAGAGAGCUGUGGUGACAGGAGACCCAGACCCAGGCCAGGAGGUGAUUACAAUAGGCUGGGCUGGAUAAUACAGAACAAGGACAAUAUUAGUUAACAUUUACUCAACUCCUAUGAUGUCCAAGGACACGAUAAACACUCUUCACUUAAUCUUUCCAACAGCCUUAGGACGGUGCUGUGGUUCUCCCCAUUCUGCAGAUGAAGAACUGAGGCUCAGUGCCUCGAGGAGGUGCAGGUGGGAUGAGGACCCAGGUCGUGUGACUUCAAAACGAGGACACUGAGGUCCAGAGAGAAUGACAUGAGCUGGAGCCUGAAACUCGCAAGGUGCAGGGCCUGCCUUCCCAGUACACACCAGUGAAGCCCAGCUCCUUGAGUGGAGUCCUCAGGCACAGCUGGUGAGGGGGCCUUCAUCACCCCACCCUGGGUGGGCCACGCGACCGCUUUGACCGGUGAGGACAGCAGAAGCGACACUGGAACAGUUCCAGAACUGGCCUGGCAGCUUCACCUCUUGCCUCUUGGAGCCUUGAGUCUUGACACAAGAAAUCCAGUCUCGGUUGCUGGAAAGGGCAUAGGAUGCAGCAGCAAGAUGAGGCCAUCCUGGGCACCCAGCCCAGCGGAGCCUUCAGAUGACUCCGGCCUCAGCUGCUAUCUGCCUACAACUGCAUGAGAGACUCCAAGCAAGAACCUGCCCAGCUAAGCCCCAUCAACUCCGGCAUCACCAGGAAGACUAAUAAACUAAUGCUUGAAACCACUGCACGGGGGGUGGUUUAUCACACAGCAGUGGACAACUGGAACAGCGCCCUACAGACCCCCUCAGAUGCGAUCAGCCACGGAAUGUGAACUGGGCACCCAUAACGUGCCAUGCAGAGAUGCAAGCUGUCCUGCCAACCACAGACGGCCGUGGGGAAACCCCAAACCUGCAUUCGCGGAAAGAUGUGGGGAUGCUAUCAACUACCCCGGCCUGCAAGUGCAGCAGUGUGUGAGAGCCUGACACGUGGCCCAAAUCCCAGCCGCUCCUCUCACUAGCUGGGGGAUCUUGGGUGUGUUACUGCUCCGAGCCUCACCUUCCCCAUCUGUAAACUGGGGGAAUAAGAACCUUUCCACCAGGGAUGAGCUCCAUUUUGGAGAGCGAGGGGCCAUGUUGGGCAUCUAGACCAACGCCCCUCCUUCAAGAUCUGACAGCCCUUCCCACCGCCUCUCCGCCCUUUCUUCCUGUCAGUUCCUAGGUGGGUUCCGGUUCUAAACCCACUUGGGGUGUCCUGGGGCUCAAGGAGGAUAGAGUCUAGAACCUUUGGGGAAGAUCAUAGGGUCCCAGAGAAAUCCUUCCUGCAGAGGAAAGGUGGCUGGCAUGGGCAGGGCAGGCCUCGGGCUAGGGUCCCACAGGCCUCAGACACCAAUGCCAGUCCGUGUGGGAGCCAUGGGAUUCUCUCUCCCAGGGUUUGUGGGGAUGAGUUUGUGUAUUUGUUUCACAGAGAGGGGUGUGUGUGUGUGCACGUGUGUGGUGUCUGCCCGGUGCCGGGAGCUGGGGACAGGGAGGGGGUGGUCCUGCAGCUGCCUUCAGUCCCAGGAGAGCUCCACAAGCCAGGCCUGUCCCUGCCUCUGGGGCAACCCCAGGACCCUGAUUUGAGAGCAUUGCUACUGCCCAUUGCUGCAGCCGGAUUAGAGCUGAGAGCUUCAAACAGAGCCCUCCUGACAACAGGCCUGGAGGCCGGGCUUAAAGAGGCCGCUGAAAUUAUAAACAGCCACCUUCCCAGUGACUCCCCAGUCCUUCCGGGGCGGGGGGGGGGGGGAUGUUCCACCAGCCCCUUCACCAUCUUCCAGUCCAGCCGCCAGCCAGCUUCAGGGAGGGCGGGUGGGGCAAGGAGGAGCUGGCGCCUGUCAGAAGGGUUGUGCUCAAAACAAAACAAACACGAGUCCCUACAGUAAAGGACACACUGGUUUGAAGUUGCAGGGAGCAGGGAGCGUCUGCCAAGAGACCCAGCUGGUGACCCUGAGGAUGCUGCCUAAGGAUUCCUCCAUUAUUAAGGAAUACGCUCCUUCUCCCCAGCUCUUUUGCGCUUCUGUGUCAGGCUCAGAAAUGGCUUAAGGGGAGGGGCUGGCAUUCAACUCCGGGGUCUAGGCAACCAUGCCAUCCAUCUGGCCUCGCUGGAAUUCAGCUUCCCCACUCCUGGAGGAGAAGAGACAGGCAGGGAGGAGAGACAGAGGGAGCAGGCAGUGCAAACCGAGGACCCGUUCUGGGUCAGGCACCGAGGCAAGUGCUGUGAAGGGUCGGAUCACCUCUGAGCCUAGGUCCCAGCUCACAAAAAGCGAGUCCGCGGAAGUCAAUUUUGUUGAGCUAGUUAAAUGGCUGGUAACCCCGCCCCCAGGUCCCUUCCAUGCCCACCAGGCACUUCACCUCUCAGGGCUUCCCUUUUCCAUCUGUGAAUUAAAGGAGAGACAAGGGCAACGAUGACCGGCAUUGGAGCGUCUGCCCUGCUGGCAGGGGCUGCUGUGGCCCCGUUGCACAGGUGGGAGACCGAGGCCGGCCAGGUGUGCAGGGACUUACAGCCCUCGGGACCACACUGCCAGGACAAAGCCCAGGAGGGAUUAGAACUCAACUCCGUCUCAUUCCACACUCGAGCUCUUUAAACUCUCCCUUUGUGCGUGCCUGUAACUGAUUGCCCCACCAACUGAUUAACUGAUUGAUUAACUGAUUGACUGAUUACCUGCCACGGCCCCUCCUCCUGACGGGCCUUCCAGGGAGCCCCCUCCGACCCCCACUGCCCAGCUCACGUUCCUCCGACCACGCACCCCAGGUGCGCCCCCAACAAGCAGUGUGGAAGGGGGCGGGGCCUGGGCGGGGCUCCCGCGGCUUCCCGCCCCCGCCCGCCAGCCGCCGGCUUCUUAAUCUGCAGCCCUUGUGGCUCUGCCUGUCGCCCGCCGGUUGUCAGGGAAACGACCUCUCCCCUCUGAACCUUCAAAGGGCUCCUCCCACUCCUGCGGGCGGGAGCUGGGGUCCUUGGAUGAGAGACCGGGGAGACAGAGACGGGGGAGGGAUACCCAGAGAUGGAGAGACAGCGCAGCGAGAGGGAGAGACAGGGAGACAGAGACAGAGACGCACCCUGGCAGGGAGAGACGACACAGGCCGCAGAGAGAAUGGAGGUGGAGAAAAAAGCGACAGUGACAAGAAAACGCACCCCCGCCCCUGCCACAGCAACAGAGGCAGAGAGAUGGAGAGAGACAGUCACAGCCGUGUACAGAGACAGGGAGAGAGAUCUUGGGAGAGGCAGGGUCAGCAUAGAGAUGGGGGGUGGGGG